AUGGCUUCUGCAGGUUCAUCCACUACUCCCACUCUCAAGGCAGCCUUAAUCGCCGCCAUUCUCGCCGUCCUGGUUCUGCCUUCCAUGGGCCGCUGCCCGUCGCUCGGGCCGCAGGCAGCGCCCACGCCUGCGCCGACACCGGCGAUACGGUGCAGCGAUUGUGACCAACGCUGCAGCACGACGUGUUUAGCCAACGGCGUCCUCGUAUGCAAGAACGACUGCGAGCUCUCGGGCUUCCAAUGUCGCGACUGCUGGGACAUGCAAUUGGUCGUGUGCCUCAGACCCUGCAAAAGUGACUGUCGCACCGCCGCCUGCGUCGACGACUAA
rnacentral:rRNA from 1 species